AGUCUACAGCAUUUAAGUCUUAAAAACAGGUGAUAAUUAAAAAAGAGAAUUUACAAUUUUCAGAUCCUUUAAUAAUUUAACGUUCUCUGCCCUUUAAGGCUGUUAGACCCUUAGCAAAUCAGGUCUAGUUGCGUCCCAGCAAUAACAAAGGGCCUAUUGCAUUAUGAUGCCAAAUACACAGCAAAAUGCAGAAGUUCCAGUGCUUCCCUGGAACAUACUCUGGCUUCUCUCCUUUGUAAGAAGGGUGUGAUUUUUCCUAUAAUGAAUGACUUAAAAUACAGUCAUGACUUAAAAAAUCCUACACCAAGUCUCAAUACAGUGAUCCAAACACUAUUUAAAAAUGCCCUCUGAGCCUCAGUUUCCCCUUCUGUAAAAUGAAGGAGUUGGGUUCGUGUUGCAGGCCAGGCCACAUCACAAGUGGGUGAACUGAACUUGCUAUCACAAACCCGAGGAGUGAGGGGAACAGCGGCAAAUAGGACUGUGGGAGGUGGACCAGGGCAGUAGUGGCCGGAAAACCAGCCUUCAAGGGGUCAGGCAGCUCUGAACUGCCAAGUCUCAAAAGUAUGUCUUUGUCUUUUGAUUUGAUAAUUUGGUCUAAUAUGAUUGUCUCAUUUAUUCCAGUGUAUGUACUUACUGUAAAUUUAUGUACAGAAUUAAAUAUCCCAUUUAUUCAUUUAUAAACCAUAAUAAAACCAGUCAUUUCCCCUCACCAGCAAUUUUUGCAUUGGAAAAGGAAAAAAAAACUAAUAUACACAUUUCAGCAACAUCAGAAAUGUCAUUAAAUCUGAAUGGAGGCAUAAUUCAUUUUGUAGUUCAAUUACGGUAUAUGUCCACGGAGUCAGUUACUCUAAUCAUAAAGAAAACACUGCAAUAUCUUUGCAGUUCAAAAUUAUUCCCAUUUGUUAUUCAACUUUGAGAAAAAUUCAGCUGUAGACUUGACUGCUUCCGGUGAAGGCACUCGGCAAGCUCAUCACCAAUAACACCCUUCAGGAUUGCCUUUUUAGAUUCCACAUAGCAAUCACCUUGAAAUUUGGGGCCGAAGUAAUUAGAAAGCAAGCGAAUAACAGACAACAAACAGGAACUUCAGAGGCUGGCGAUUCCUAAGCUCACAGGCCUAAAGAUAUCCCAGACCUCUCCAGAAGCGGCCCAAUGUAAGCUGACAAAACGCCCUCUUAUUUACAACAUUCCAAUUAUCAAAAACAAACCACGUCAAGCGUAAACCGUCACUCUCUGAGUGGGAAAAAUGUCUCGAGGGAGUAAAGGAUGACUCCUGUCCCAACUCUGGGGACAGCGCCAAAGGAAGAAAGCAUCACCUCAGACCCAGCCGGUCCCAGGAGGGAGGAUAACAGUCCUUCGUGAUGCCAAGAAGGCUGGAUCCCCUCCACCUGGAUCUUGGCACACAGGUCACGAUGUGAGCCUCCCCAAACCAACUUCUCUGCUUUUUCUUUUUCUUUUUCUUUUUUAAGCCAACUUUUUCUUGACCAAAGCAUCUGAUUUGACAAACCAGAUCCUAGCUUGCUGCUCGCCUCUUUUCCCUUCACCAGAACAUGAUUCAGAUCCUAAUGUAAGCACCACAAGAAUAGGACACGGAAUCAAACCACUGCUCUUGUCUGCCACACAAACCGUCCAGAUAAUUGGUAUUCUUGAUUCAUUCUGCUUUUAGCGAUUAUGGUCAUUUGAGAGGUGCUUCUCAACACCUCAUCGUUUCCUACCAAAUGCUGAUAUGUGUCAGGCAUCAGCAGUGGGAACUUUUUUUGUUUUUAAACAUUUAAAGCAAAAGGGUUUUCAAUCUAUAAGCCAGUCUGUAUGCACCUCCUACUGGGGUCCAAGGCAUAAAUACACAACUA